UUAGCGUAAAACUAGUGUUGUAAAACUAGUGUUGGUGGAGCUAAGAAGAAAUCAUAGUAGUUUACGCUGGCUGGAGAGGAAAGGAUUGUAAUGGAGGCAAAAGAGAUCCGAUUUCUUAUUUUUGAUUAUGUGUGUGGCCCGGCGAGGGAGAUGGCAAGGGCCUUCUCUAUGUUGACUUCCUGAGAUCGCCAAAAAGUAAACUAGAAACCUGGUCAUCGAUGUUUGCAAGGGCAUUCAACAGAUUUUAAAUGAAGACUGAAAUGUUUAUUUAAUACAUUCAGACAACAGGCAAAUAAAUGAAGCAGCUGUGAAGGGGAUUUCAAGAUGUGCAUUGUAUAGAAUACUUAAGUCAGAAAUUAGAAAUUUUGUGGAACAUAAACUAUUUAGUAAGAAUCUUAAUCUAUUUCAGAAUCUCAAAGAUA